rnacentral:rRNA from 1 species
UACGUAGGGUGCAAGCGUUAAUCGGAAUUACUGGGCGUAAAGCGUGCGCAGGCGGUUUUGUAAGUCUGACGUGAAAUCCCCGGGCUCAACCUGGGAAUUGCGUUGGAGACUGCAAGGCUGGAGUCUGGCAGAGGGGGGUAGAAUUCCACGUGUAGCAGUGAAAUGCGUAGAGAUGUGGAGGAACACCGAUGGCGAAGGCAGCCCCCUGGGUCAAGAUUGACGCUCAUGCACGAAAGCGUGGGGAGCAAACGAAGGAUAGAGUA